rnacentral:sRNA from 1 species
UCUUAGCCCGAAUAGGAAUGGAAAUCCUUUUUUUUCGUGCAUUUGACGAAAAAAAAGAUUGGAAUGGAUAGCCGGACGACGA